rnacentral:rRNA from 1 species
AUUUUCCUACGGGGGGCAGCAGUGGGGGAUAUUGGACAAUGGGGGGAACCCUGAUCCAGCGACGCCGCGUGAGUGAAGAAGUAUUUCGGUAUGUAAAGCUCUGUCAGCAGGGAAGAAAGCAAUGACGGUACCUGACCAAGAAGCCCCGGCUAACUACGUGCCAGCAGCCGCGGUAAUACGUAGGGAGCAAGCGUUAUCCGGAUUUACUGGGUGUAAAGGGAGCGUAGACGGCGUGCCAAGUCUGAUGUGAAAGGCCGGGGCUCAACCCCGGGACUGCAUUGGAAACUGGCAUGCUGGAGUGCCGG